rnacentral:rRNA from 1 species
UACGGGGGGGCUAGCGUUAUUCGGAAUCAUUGGGCGUAAAGGGCGCGUAGGCGGCGCGGUAAGUCAAAGGUGAAAUCCCUCGGCUCAACUGAGGAACUGCCUUUGAAACUGCCGUGCUUGAGUCCGGGAGGGGGUAGCGGAAUUCCCAGUGUAGCGGUGAAAUGCGUAGAUAUUGGGAGGAACACCAGUGGCGAAGGCGGCUACCUGGACCGGUACUGACGCUGAGGUGGCGAAAGCGUGGGGAGCAAACAGG